rnacentral:rRNA from 1 species
UUAAGCGACUAAGCGUACACGGUGGAUGCCCUGGCAGUCAGAGGCGAUGAAGGACGUGCUAAUCUGCGAUAAGCGUCGGUAAGGUGAUAUGAACCGUUAUAACCGGCGAUUUCCGAAUGGGGAAACCCAGUGUGUUUCGACACACUAUCAUUAACUGAAUCCAUAGGUUAAUGAGGCGAACCGGGGGAACUGAAACAUCUAAGUACCCCGAGGAAAAGAAAUCAACCGAGAUUCCCCCAGUAGCGGCGAGCGAACGGGGAGCAGCCCAGAGCCUGAAUCAGUGUGUGUGUUAGUGGAAGCGUCUGGAAAGGCGCGCGAUACAGGGUGACAGCCCCGUACACAAAAAUGCACAUGCUGUGAGCUCGAUGAGUAGGGCGGGACACGUGGUAUCCUGUCUGAAUAUGGGGGACCAUCCUCCAAGGCUAAAUACUCCUGACUGACCGAUAGUGAACCAGUACCGUGAGGGAAAGGCGAAAAGAACCCCGGCGAGGGGAGUGAAAAAGAACCUGAAACCGUGUACGUACAAGCAGUGGGAGCACGCUUAGGCGUGUGACUGCGUACCUUUUGUAUAAUGGGUCAGCGACUUAUAUUCUGUAGCAAGGUUAACCGAAUAGGGGAGCCGAAGGGAAACCGAGUCUUAACUGGGCGUUAAGUUGCAGGGUAUAGACCCGAAACCCGGUGAUCUAGCCAUGGGCAGGUUGAAGGUUGGGUAACACUAACUGGAGGACCGAACCGACUAAUGUUGAAAAAUUAGCGGAUGACUUGUGGCUGGGGGUGAAAGGCCAAUCAAACCGGGAGAUAGCUGGUUCUCCCCGAAAGCUAUUUAGGUAGCGCCUCGUGAAUUCAUCUCCGGGGGUAGAGCACUGUUUCGGCAAGGGGGUCAUCCCGACUUACCAACCCGAUGCAAACUGCGAAUACCGGAGAAUGUUAUCACGGGAGACACACGGCGGGUGCUAACGUCCGUCGUGAAGAGGGAAACAACCCAGACCGCCAGCUAAGGUCCCAAAGUCAUGGUUAAGUGGGAAACGAUGUGGGAAGGCCCAGACAGCCAGGAUGUUGGCUUAGAAGCAGCCAUCAUUUAAAGAAAGCGUAAUAGCUCACUGGUCGAGUCGGCCUGCGCGGAAGAUGUAACGGGGCUAAACCAUGCACCGAAGCUGCGGCAGCGACGCUGAUGCGUUGUUGGGUAGGGGAGCGUUCUGUAAGCCUGCGAAGGUGUGCUGUGAGGCAUGCUGGAGGUAUCAGAAGUGCGAAUGCUGACAUAAGUAACGAUAAAGCGGGUGAAAAGCCCGCUCGCCGGAAGACCAAGGGUUCCUGUCCAACGUUAAUCGGGCAGGGUGAGUCGACCCCUAAGGCGAGGCCGAAAGGCGUAGUCGAUGGGAAACAGGUUAAUAUUCCUGUACUUGGUGUUACUGCGAAGGGGGGACGGAGAAGGCUAUGUUGGCCGGGCGACGGUUGUCCCGGUUUAAGCGUGUAGGCUGGUUUUCCAGGCAAAUCCGGAAAAUCAAGGCUGAGGCGUGAUGACGAGGCACUACGGUGCUGAAGCAACAAAUGCCCUGCUUCCAGGAAAAGCCUCUAAGCAUCAGGUAACAUCAAAUCGUACCCCAAACCGACACAGGUGGUCAGGUAGAGAAUACCAAGGCGCUUGAGAGAACUCGGGUGAAGGAACUAGGCAAAAUGGUGCCGUAACUUCGGGAGAAGGCACGCUGAUAUGUAGGUGAAGUCCCUUGCGGAUGGAGCUGAAAUCAGUCGAAGAUACCAGCUGGCUGCAACUGUUUAUUAAAAACACAGCACUGUGCAAACACGAAAGUGGACGUAUACGGUGUGACGCCUGCCCGGUGCCGGAAGGUUAAUUGAUGGGGUCAGCGCAAGCGAAGCUCUUGAUCGAAGCCCCGGUAAACGGCGGCCGUAACUAUAACGGUCCUAAGGUAGCGAAAUUCCUUGUCGGGUAAGUUCCGACCUGCACGAAUGGCGUAAUGAUGGCCAGGCUGUCUCCACCCGAGACUCAGUGAAAUUGAACUCGCUGUGAAGAUGCAGUGUACCCGCGGCAAGACGGAAAGACCCCGUGAACCUUUACUAUAGCUUGACACUGAACAUUGAGCCUUGAUGUGUAGGAUAGGUGGGAGGCUUUGAAGUGUGGACGCCAGUCUGCAUGGAGCCGACCUUGAAAUACCACCCUUUAAUGUUUGAUGUUCUAACGUGGACCCGUGAUCCGGGUUGCGGACAGUGUCUGGUGGGUAGUUUGACUGGGGCGGUCUCCUCCUAAAGAGUAACGGAGGAGCACGAAGGUUGGCUAAUCCUGGUCGGACAUCAGGAGGUUAGUGCAAUGGCAUAAGCCAGCUUGACUGCGAGCGUGACGGCGCGAGCAGGUGCGAAAGCAGGUCAUAGUGAUCCGGUGGUUCUGAAUGGAAGGGCCAUCGCUCAACGGAUAAAAGGUACUCCGGGGAUAACAGGCUGAUACCGCCCAAGAGUUCAUAUCGACGGCGGUGUUUGGCACCUCGAUGUCGGCUCAUCACAUCCUGGGGCUGAAGUAGGUCCCAAGGGUAUGGCUGUUCGCCAUUUAAAGUGGUACGCGAGCUGGGUUUAGAACGUCGUGAGACAGUUCGGUCCCUAUCUGCCGUGGGCGCUGGAGAACUGAGGGGGGCUGCUCCUAGUACGAGAGGACCGGAGUGGACGCAUCACUGGUGUUCGGGUUGUCAUGCCAAUGGCACUGCCCGGUAGCUAAAUGCGGAAGAGAUAAGUGCUGAAAGCAUCUAAGCACGAAACUUGCCCCGAGAUGAGUUCUCCCUGACUCCUUGAGAGUCCUGAAGGAACGUUGAAGACGACGACGUUGAUAGGCCGGGUGUGUAAGCGCAGCGAUGCGUUGAGCUAACCGGUACUAAUGAGCCGUGAGGCUUAACCUU